CAGAAAGUUAGUUCACACCUCGGAUUUUGAUGCCAACACAGACGCUCAGUGGGUGACCGGUAACAAUGAUUCAACCAAGCUGUUCCAGGCCUGGAGUGGCACGCUGGAACUUCCAGAGGCUUGUAGACCUGAAGCAGUGUGAUGUGAUCCAGAUCUGACAUCCCUAUUAGCUCAACCACAGUCCUCACAGCUGAAGUCGUCUGCCCCUGCACCUGCUACACCAGCCACGACAGGUGAUACAGAUCUGCCACCCCCAGCAGUUCAGCUGCAGUCACAGCAGUCCUCUGCUGUGGUAUUUCAUUUACCGGCUGCACCAGUUCCUACUACACUGGCCAUGAAGGGAGAUACUAUUGAGGAGACCCAGAUGGAUACAGAUCUGCCAUGCACUCCACCCAGUGCCUGACAGACUCAUCUCUGAGAAAGCAGAGAUGGGUGGCUGACAAGGAAAAAUAAAACACAACACACACUCUCUCUCUCUGUCAUACACACUCACACACGUUAUCCCCAGUGUAAAUGAGUUGUAUUUACUUGUUUAUUUUAUGUUUGCUCAAUUUGAUUUUAGGAUUUGAGAUAUCUAUUCCUACAUAUCCAUUCUCAAUAUCUACAUAAUUACUCUAAAUAUCUAUCAAAUCAAAGUGUUAUUGAUAUUGUAAAAGACUUGCUUAAUUUGUAUAGUUUGAGGAAAUUCUGUGUGCUUUUUAAAAACAUGCCUCCCUCUCACACACACAUUAGACCCAAUGUAAAUAC
ensembl:lncRNA